GUGGGGAAUAUUGGACAAUGGGCGCAAGCCUGAUCCAGCAAUGCCGCGUGUGUGAAGAAGGCCUUCGGGUUGUAAAGCACUUUUAUCAGGAACGAAAAGCGUUGGGUUAAUAACCUGACGUGCUGACGGUACCUGAGGAAUAAGCACCGGCUAACUUCGUGCCAGCAGCCGCGGUAAUACGAAGGGUGCAAGCGUUAAUCGGAAUUACUGGGCGUAAAGCGUGCGUAGAUGGUUUGUUAAGUCGAAUGUGAAAGCCCCGGGCUCAACCUGGGAACUGCAUCCGAAACUGGCAGACUAGAGUGUGGUAGAGGAUGGCGGAAUUCCCGGUGUAGCGGUGAAAUGCGUAGAGAUCGGGAGGAACAUCCGUGGCGAAGGCGGCCAUCUGGACCAACACUGACGUUGAGGCACGAAAGCGUGGGGAGCAAACAGGAUUAGAAACCCUGGUAGUCC
rnacentral:rRNA from 1 species